GAAAGAAGAAAACAUGUGGAACCAGCAAAGUCACCAAAGAAGGAACAUUUAGCUCCAAGUGAAAAACAAGUAAAAGCAAAAACUGAACGAGCCAAAGAAGUUGGUGCUGUCUCAACUAAAAAAGCUGUACCUGGAAAGAAGGAAGAGAAAACAACCAAGACAGUGGAGCAAGGUAAAAAAAAAUGAAGGAGGUUGACAUUAUCUUCUUUAGAAAGACAACAACAUGCGGAGGAAAGCACUGGAUUCAGACAGGCGGAAGACAAUAACCUUUAAAUCUAUUGCUCUAUAUCACUGUCCUUGCAUGUUUCUCUGUGCUAGGGAAAAUGUGAGACAGCAAUCUGGGUUUGUCUUUCUUUUGUGUAACUAAAUCUUGAGAAUAAUUUCAGAACAAGAAAAGUCCCCAAACUGCUUAAUUAAAUCAGGAGAAAUGCCAGAGGUUGUUGAGAAGGAAUGAUUUGGGGCAACUGGUAGAUAUGUUUCUGUUUCAUUUGUGAUUGCAACACCACCUCACUGACCAUAGUUUGAAGAAAAAAGAUAACCCAAUCCUAUUUAUGCAAAAAUUAUUUUAUGCUUGAAAAUAAUAUGUAAAAGUUAAAACAAAAGAAAAGCAACAACAAAAGUAAGUUAUUUGAGUUUAUAUUAUGACUUCAGCAUUUGAAUCUCCCAAGAGAUCUGAAAUUUCAAUGUUAUAAAUAAUAAUAGUAUGAAAUAUUUAUGCAUUAUAUUUGCAGCAUUAUAUACUAUGCACAUCACUUCAGAAUGUUUAAGAAAAAUGCUACGGUACAUUAGACUUAAAACAUUUAAAGUGAUGCUGUACCUUCUCUGAGAGUUCAAAGUGAGCUAAUGAUUUUAAUUUUUGUUCUCCCACGCCUCUGCUUUUACAUAAUAGUGUUAUAUUUAUUAUAAUGAAUAAAAUCAGAAUUAGUAACAAUUGUGUCAGGAACAAAGUCAAAUUUGUUUUCCCUUCAAAUUUGAGAUGCGAUUAAAUUUCUAAAAUCCUGAUAUUAGAAAUUUAUAAUUUUUGAUAUUAAUGUAUCAAGAAAAAUCCUUCAAACCCUUACAUGGCAGAUAAAUAAACUAAUGUUAAGAAAUCAAUUAAGCAAAAAGAUUGGUUAAGGAUUUAUUUCCCUGGGAUAUUCAAAAUAAAACUCCUUUAUAAUCACAUUGAAAUAGUUUUCAAUUCACUGUGUCUCUUGGGGAAUACCAGAAAUUUUAGAAUUCAAUAGAAUAUUUCUGUUAAUGUAUUUUUGAAGAAAAAGGGAUCCUUUAAUCUCUGAAAUAUAAAGUAGGAACACUGGAACCCAGUUUCAACUAGUUCACUUAUGCAAGUUUCUGAGAUUAAAUUUCUUGAUUUAAAAAAUAAAGAUAAUUAUACCUGAGCUGCUUCUUGUCUGACAAGAUGUUUUAUAGGUAAAGCAAGAAAAUAUAUGAUAUAAAAAACUUAAACAUUUCUGGAUAAGCAUUUGCCAUUUACUUAGGAAUUUUUCCUUAUAAAAUCAAUUCAAUACACAAGGGAUUUAACUUAUCAAACCCUUUUGAUUUCAUUGAGCGUCAUAGUUUUUUUUUCCCUCUCUAGUAUAAAGGUGUUGAUUACUCAUGACAUUUGUAAAUUGCUUUUAUAGCCACAGCAUAUUGAGAGAAGAUUGGCUAGAAUAUAAAACAUCCACACUAAUAAUAGCUCCUAACAGGUAGCUGAUUUGAACACAGAUUGUUUCUUUCUUUUUACCAUGCAUGUUGAUGUUACUUUCAUUAUUUCUGUAAUGGUUCCUCAAGUAGACAAGAGACUGGAAAUGGCUCUUAGAAAUGUGAACUUACUCCUUCAGAUGAUUUUAUCAUUUAUUUUUUACUAAAAUUACCUUUUAACUUUUCAAAGUUUAGGUUCUUGGCUUGUGUAAAAGAAUGAGAUAUUUUCAAUGGUUCUUUUUAUAUUGAUAAAUCAUUUCAAUUUUAAUUAUUUUAUGGCAGUAGCCUCAUACUUUUCAACUAUAACAAUCAUAGGAAAUAGUGAAUUUAGGUAUCUUAGAUAUUUUUGUGAUAGUGUAUCUAUGACUACCACUUGAUAUAAAAAUAGAUAUAAAAACAGGGAAUGUGUGAAUAAAUCAUAAAUAAUUAUAUUAUGCACAUUUUCUCAGAGUAUUCUAAUAUUUAUUUAUGAUGCUUUAAGAGUAUUGUGUACUUUUCUUUCUUAUGUGGCUUUUAGUUAUCUUCAGAACUAUAAAUAAAACUUGUUCAUAAUGCAUUGAAGUACAAUUAAAUAGUCAUAACAGAUUUAUUUUUAUUUAUUUAAGUUUGAACAUGUGGACUUCAUUAGGAAAAAACUAUAUAAUUUUUAUUAUUUUUAAUAGAUUUUAAAUACAAUUUGUGAUCUAACUAUAAUUGUGUAUCUUAAACCUCUGGACUUUACAUUACAAUUAUACUUGGGAAACAUUAGUUAAGCUAAACUUUACAUUUUGGGAAAUCCAUAUUGUAAAAGUUGAAUAAAUUUUAUGUUAAUGUAAUUUAGUAAACUAGAUCUUAUAACAUGUAGGAAGAAAUUUAGUUAAUCUAACUCUAAUACUCAAAAAAUUCACUCUAUUCAAUCUUUAAUUUAUGAUGAAUCAUGUUUUUCAAUUGUUUUUUUUAUUGAGGAUCUCUAAUUGGCUAGACUGCAAUUUUGAACAUUGGAAACACUUUAUAAACUCCUCCACUUAAAGACACAUGCAUAUGCACACAUGUGCAUCCCACCUGCACCCCACCACACCAUUAACUGUUCCUCCUUUUUUAGAAGCAACUACCUGGAAGCAUCAGGAUACUUCUCAACAAAUGUUUUCCACAAUAAAUGUUGCUAUUCUUAUAGGGACAACCAAGGGAGGCCAAAGAUAAAAAAUUUACGAACAAUUAGUACCCUAUGAAAAUUCAUCUUUAUACAUUUGUAUAUUAUAUCUGAAAAAUGUACAUUGCAUUUCAUUAAUGCAAUGACUCACUAUUGGAUAUUAAUACAAGUUGCUCAUUUGUUGAUAUUUAUUUCUCAUAUUUAAUUGUAUAUUUUCCUCCUUGGUAUUCUUUUUCAAAAUCAACCUGCCCUCCUAAAUCCCAUUUCCUUGUCUCUCAUUCAAUCUCUGUCUCUCAGAUGAUAGUCUGUAGUAAGAUUUGCUUUCCACUAGCUGGGAGGUGGCCAAGAGAGUCAUGGUAAAGCAGCAUUCUACAGAAGCAUUAUAGGGUACAGAAGACCAGUCAAGACAAUUAACUUUAAAGAUCUGAGUUGUAGGUUGGAAUUCCAGCGUCUGCCCAUUUUUGCUUUUCUUCCUUCAAAGUGAUUUAAGUCCAACAGUGAAAGCAUGAAAUAGUUGUAAUUUAGUUCUAAAUUAAAUCACUUGAAACUCA